rnacentral:rRNA from 1 species
CAGUAGCCACGGUAAUACGAAGGGUGCAAGCGUUAAUCGGAAUUACUGGGCGUAAAGCGUGCGUAGGCGGUUUGUUAAGUCUGUUGUGAAAUCCCCGGGCUCAACCUGGGAAUGGCAAUGGAUACUGGCAAGCUAGAGUGUGUCAGAGGAUGGUGGAAUUCCCGGUGUAGCGGUGAAAUGCGUAGAGAUCGGGAGGAACAUCAGUGGCGAAGGCGGCCAUCUGGGACAACACUGACGCUGAGGCACGAAAGCGUGGGGAGCAAACAGGAUUAGAUACCCCUGUAGUCCCUGUCUCUUAUAA